GAUGAACGCUGGCGGCGUGCCUAAUACAUGCAAGUCGAGCGAACAGACGAGGAGCUUGCUCCUCUGACGUUAGCGGCGGACGGGUGAGUAACACGUGGAUAACCUACCUAUAAGACUGGGAUAACUUCGGGAAACCGGAGCUAAUACCGGAUAAUAUAUUGAACCGCAUGGUUCAAUAGUGAAAGACGGUUUUGCUGUCACUUAUAGAUGGAUCCGCGCCGCAUUAGCUAGUUGGUAAGGUAACGGCUUACCAAGGCAACGAUGCGUAGCCGACCUGAGAGGGUGAUCGGCCACACUGGAACUGAGACACGGUCCAGACUCCUACGGGAGGCAGCAGUAGGGAAUCUUCCGCAAUGGGCGAAAGCUUGACGGAGCAACGCAGCGUGAGUGGUGAAGGUCUUCGGAUCGUAAAACUCUGUUAGUAGGGAAGAACAAAUGUGUAAGUAACUAUGCACGUCGUGACGGUACCUAAUCAGAAAGCCACGGCUAACUACGUG
rnacentral:rRNA from 1 species